UAAUUCAUUGCGCGCAUUGCACUAAUAAGAUUAUCUUGAAUUUGUUGUUUAGCGCGUAUGCAUUGCUUAUACUCACGCUGAUCCUCCAAUGACGACAGUGUAAGGUAAAGCCUAAUGAAUUAGCAUCUUCAUAACAAGAAUCUGUCUUUCUCCUCUAUAAUGGCGCAGCAUUCAUUCGCAGGCAAGCAGGGGAAAGCAGGAAAAGGGGGACUAGACGGCACCGGCAGUAAGUGGCCAUCAUGCAGGUGCAUACACUGACAUUAUGCCUUGUCAUUUUACAUUAACAGGACACGAGCAGGAGAAUCGCAAGGAAUAGGACAAGCGCAAGGAUGGUGGUAAGGAUAUGAACAAGAGUCGGGCUCAAACGGGACGUGGCAUGCCACGUAGCGGCCGUUCGGAGGUAUGAAGCCUCUGGUUGCAAGACCAUGGCUAUUAACUAAAUGCUUUUUAUUGCCUUAUUUCGAGGCACGUUAUGCCGGUGUCACACCUACAGCCGUCAUUGUACGUAACAUGUUCACAACUAUGUGUUCCUGCCUAAACAAUGAUUUGUUGUGAUCCUUUCAUAUGCAGAUAUAUGCCGUCGNNN
rnacentral:lncRNA from 1 species